CGGCAGCGGCGCAGCGGCAGGUGCGUUCAGCAGCUUCCCCUGGUGCCCUCAGCCGCCUUAGUGAGGAGGGGGUUAAACGGGCCGCAGGCCGGCGGCACACAGUGCUUGAGCGGACCUUCAGGCAUCACGGCGCCGAGCCGCCCGGUAACUGCUGCGUUGUCUCUUCUGAGCCUCCUGUGAUCACACGGAGAAGACCUCCACUUCUCCUGAUCUUUUACUUGGCAAGACAGGAUGACAGAGAAUAAUUAAAUGUGUGUGUUUAGGAUCAGUAAGCUUCCUGUCAAUUACAUGCAACCACUGAGAGCUUUUCUAGUGGUAGGCCUUAUGUUUUUUCAUUAUUUAUUAAGUAGAGACGAGCAAAGUAACCCAGAUAUUAAUGAGGCUCAGGGUUUGUGAACUGUGAUACAUGCCGUGCUGUGAGCAUCCCACGUACCUUACUGCCUCCACACAACAGUGAGUGUUUCUCACACAUUUGCUCUCGUGCUCAUUGACACUGGCCUCACGGGGCAGCAGACAUCAUGUGCUGGCUUCUCCGUGUGCUGACCACGUCAGGGUCUUCACUGGACAGCCUCCGAUGUGUCACUGCUCUGCUCACCGUACCCCAGCUCUCAGGGACUGCAGCUUGAGGUGAGGGCUGCUGGCAGUGUGGGGCAGCCCCCCGCAGUGACCCCAACCUCCCUCUUCAGCCAUCUUAACAACACCGCCUCACGUUCCACCAUCCACCUACAGAGAUGCCGUGUGCUGUUUGUCCUAAGAAGAUGAGAUCUCUCUUGACAAUCCCGCCAAAGUGAGGUCUGGAAUAUAUCUGGAAAAGUCAAGACAAGAAGAGACUGCCCCGAAAGACAAGGUGGUACAUACCAGCUGUCAGGCAUCCCCAAAUGUUAAUGACUUGCGAGUUAGAUUUAAGAUCAAAAUGAACAUGAUCUUGAAAGAGUAACUGAAGAAACAUGGCUGUAAUUCAGAUGUCUGUAUGAUUUGAUCCUUUUUUUCCUAACACUUCAGUCAAAGUGUGAUUCUUCUUUUUACAGACUAUAUCUUUCAGCAUAUACUACUCAUCUGGUACAACUUUCAAGUCUAAGGAGCAAUGCCUAUACGCAAUGAAUAUUACAGGAAAUCAUAUUUAUACAAGGCUCAGAUUGCAAUUGGAGAUAUUUAAACAGCCACUGUUGGUACUAUUUAAAAAGAAACAACAGCUAAUUUCUUCAUAUUUUACUGAUAUUUUUAAACCUACAGAAUGCUUGGGAUAGAAGAAGACAAAACUGUUAAUCUAAUUUUGAGCCUAAAAAAGUGAAGUGACGGAUCCAAAGCAGCCCAGCAAUUCUGGUUCUAAGUUGCAUCCAGAACUGAACAAAAUAUAUUAUUUUAUCCUAAGAUCUGGAAGAUAUUUUAUAAUAACUUCUGUUCGCUCAAGAUUUUGCCCUGGGAGGAACAAAGACUGUACAAAAAUAUCUAAUCUUCAGAGGUUUCUAUGCUUUACAACAAAAAAUUCCUGCACAGAGAAUAAUCUCUCAAGAAGAACUUAUUUACUCAGUCCUCAGGUGGAGGAGUUUAUGCACACACAAAAAAUCCAGAUAGUGUUUUAAACUGUCUUGUAUACCUCACAUGCAGCUUCUAUUCACCACUCUAAAAAAACAUCAGCAUAGCAGGGCACUGAAGAGCUUCCUUCUGUUUAAGUGAUUGUUUACUGUAGCUCCUGUACCCUGUGGAAAGCCUGCCUAUUGCAAGCCUGUUUGAGAUCCUGAAGGAGUAUCAUUGCCUAUGACUCCCUCUAGCGAUUCUGCUAUGAGAAAUGCAGCCAUCUGCAGAUAGCCAUACAAAAUCACCUCAAAUUCUUCAUUAAAUAAAUAAUUUACAUCUUGCAUAAUGUUUUGAAUAAUGGCAAUCAAAUUUCCAAUAAAUUAAACUGGUUUUGCAGUGGGUUAAAAUAUUUUUCAAUGUAAACGGUUUGGGGAAACAUAUUUUGCAGCAGAUUUAUAUGCAAGAAGCCUUUCUUCCUUCUAUUAAAUGGAAAACUGAUAAGCCAAUAGAAGUACGAGAUUAGAUGUUAAA